UUUACAUCCUUGAGUGGUUGAGCCAUCCUUCGAUUUACACAGAUAAGGCGUUUGAGGAUCUUUUAAGAACAUUCAGUUCAUAAAUUGUUGGAUAUUUUCAUAUUUAUGUAUUUGAUGCUGAGCCCAAGCAGCUUUCUUCACAACUGUCCCAGCCAUCAAGUUGGUUUUACUUCAGCCUUUUGUUCCAACCGAAGUUCUCUACUUCGGUUUGG